AUGGAGUCGUCGUCGGCGGACUCGUCGCCCACGAGAUCAUGGGGCCUCAAGGAGCAGCGCACCGUCUACCUCCGCUGGUUCUACCUCGCCGACGACGACGCGGACGGUCGCCUGACUGGGAAGGACGCCCUCAAGUUCUUCGCCAUGUCCAAGCUCUCCAGGGAAGACCUCAAGCAGGUCUGGGCGAUUGCUGAUUCGAAACGUCAGGGUUAUCUUGGAUUCGCGGAGUUUAUGACCGCAAUGCAGCUGGUUUCUCUGGCACAGGCAGGGCAAGACAUAAGCCAAGACACCCUUGCACAUGCAGAUUUGGCGAGCUUGCAGCCUCCGACAAUGGAAGGUCUGGAGAAGAAACUAAAAAAGAGUGCGGCACACAAGAGCAGCUCCGACCUCACUGCGUACCAUCCAGUCCAAACGUCUCUGUCAGCUAACUGGUUUAACUCGAAGUCGGGAAAGAAGAUAGCGAUGAAAUCAGUCACCUCGAUAAUCGAUGGACUAAAGAAAGCAUACAUUGAGAAGUUGAGGCCUCUAGAAAAAACUUACCAAUAUAAUGACUUUGUUUCACCUUUGCUGACUAGCAGCGAUUUUGAUGCGAAGCCAAUGAUCAUGCUAUUGGGUCAAUACUCAACUGGAAAAACCACAUUCAUAAAGCAUUUACUAAAGACAGGUUAUCCAGGUUCUCAUAUUGGACCGGAGCCUACGACCGAUAGAUUUGUUGUUGUUACUACUGGGCCAGAUGAAAGAUGCAUCCCUGGAAACACAAUUGCGGUGCAAGCUGACAUGCCAUACAGCGGCUUGUCGGCGUUCGGAACGGCGUUUUUAUCCAAGUUUGAGUGCUCUCAGAUGCCUCAUCCAUUACUGGAUCACAUUUCCUUCGUGGACACUCCCGGAGUGUUAUCAGGGGAGAAGCAGCGAACGCAACGCAGCUACGAUUUCACCGGAGUCACAUCGUGGUUUGCGGCCAAGUCUGACCUCAUCCUUCUCCUGUUCGAUCCCCAUAAGCUCGACAUCAGCGACGAGUUCAAGCGUGUGAUCGGGUCGCUGCGCGGGCACGAUGACAAGAUACGCAUAGUUCUCAACAAAGCUGACCAAGUUGACGCACAACAGCUGAUGAGGGUCUACGGAGCACUCCUGUGGUCGCUGGGGAAGGUCCUCAACACGCCGGAGGUCAUGCGUGUCUACAUUGGAUCGUUCAACGACAAGCCGAUCCGGGAGACGGCGGCGGGGCCGCUGGGAUCGGAGCUGUUCGUGAGGGAGCAGGAGGACCUCCUCUCGGACCUCAACGACAUCCCGAAGAAGGCGUGCGACCGGCGGAUCAACGAGUUCGUGAAGCGGGCGCGGUCGGCCAAGGUGCACGCGCACAUCGUGGGGCACCUCAAGAACCAGAUGCCGGCGCUGAUGGGGAAGGCCAAGGCGCAGCAGAAGCUGCUGGAGACGCUGGACGAGCAGUUCGCCAAGGUGCAGAAGGAGAUGCACCUGCCGCCGGGCGACUUCCCCAGCGUCGACGAGUACCGGGACACGCUCAGCGCCUACAACUUCGACCGCUUCGAGCGGCUCCAUACCAAGAUGGUCAAGGACGUCGACGACAUGCUCGCCUACCACAUCCCGGACCUCCUCAAGCAGUUCAGGAACCCCUACGAGUGA
rnacentral:rRNA from 1 species